rnacentral:lncRNA from 1 species
CAAAGGAAGUUACAUUUUCUUUGCAACGUUCACAUAUUGGUUGCUAUUAAUAAGGCUUUGUUUUUGCAUACAAAGCCAUGACUUGCCUAUAUGAAAAAACUGAUUACGGGAAACAAACUGAGUGUGAAGCUCUUUUCUUAUUCUAGUCCACAACAAAAAUAACAAUCCUCUCAUACCAAAAUUAAGAAAAGCUACAUAUUUUAAUUUUUGUCCAGUCAACAACUCUGGGUUUCAUCUUCCUGAAAUUUUUUUCUUCUUGUUAGUUAUGUAUCCUUGGUUUUAAACCAAGGUUGAAGAGCCUGUUGAAUAUCGGGUUACUAUUUUGUAGGUUUCUUAUGAAUUGUUGAUAGAACUAUGUCGACGGUCAAGUCAAACAAUAAUAUAUAGCACUGAUAAGUUAUUUGAUAUCUCUCUUUUUAUUCUCUUCAAUAUUUAAUUAUUUCUCAUUUUAUGUGUUGAUUAUUAUUUGGAGAUAAUUUUAUAUCAAUAUUUUACAACAGAAGUAUGUAUGUUUUUCUUAUUCUACCAGUGUUUCUUUUUUUUUUUUUUUCUUUUCUUUUUUCAGAUAAAAUAGUUCGAAUCAAAUAGACACGUAUAGACUAGUUUGUAGAAAACAAGGGAAAAUAGCAAGUAGACAAGGUUUGAGAAUGGACAUGGUGGAGAGUCGGUCUAUAACCUUUUGUACUUCAUUUAUCAAAAAAAUAUUUAGAAGACAACUUCAUAUUUGCAAGAGUACGUCAGAAAAAGCCUGCAUGCAUGUGACAUAUUUUGACAGGGGUUACGUCAGGGUUUAUGCCAGGAGCGUAUUUGCCAGGAGCUAAGGCCCUGGCAUAGUCAUUUGCGAUGACCUGAAUUGUUGGGGAUUCUGCCCUUGACAAAACUCCUGCAAACGUCAGGGCUUCUGCCCUUGUCAAAUUACCAUAUUAAAUUUCUCGUAGUGAUCAUCCUAAUUAUCAAUAUGUAACCAUAGCUUGUCCGGUGAAAAAAAGUAUUAUAAUCAAACUUGUCGAUUAUAAUGAUGGCGAGAUUAUGCGAUACAAUUUUUUUUCAUUGAUAAUCUUUAGGUUAUACCGUUAUUUAUUUAUUUUUGACAAAGGUUAUGCCAUUUUUUAUAAUGUUUGUUGUUAGACUUUUUGUUUUUUUAACAUGACAUUUUGUUGUUGUUGUUUAUAUUCGAGAUUAGAGAGAGUAUUUCUCUAUUCCGCCACUCUCUUGUUUGUCUUUCUUGUGUACUUAACACAUAAAAAAAAUUGACAUCAUAUCAUAAUAUACAAUUUCUGGUGUCAACCUUUUGCGAUAACAUUUUUGUUUUUUAAAUAGGUUUGUGUUAGGUUAAUAACUUAUUUUUGUGUUAAUUUUGUGAACAUUGGAAAAGGUUAAAGCCAUUUUGAUUGACUUUGAUAUGUACAUGCAAUAUGAAGUAGAAACGUGGAAAGCAAGCCUGUGCAAGUAAUACAUGGUGGCUUGUUAUUCAAUUGUUCGCACAUGUUCAUAUGUUGUACAUGUUGAAAUUGUAUGCAUGGCAGUAAAUAAUUUUGACAAUUUGUCCAAUUGUUUACGGU